rnacentral:rRNA from 1 species
UCUGGUGACAAUACCGGAGGGGUACCACCCGUUCCCAUCCCGAACACGGAAGUUAAGACCUCCAGGGCCGACAAUACCAUUAAAGGGAAGAUAGGUCGUUGCCAGGU